UACGGGGGGGGCAAGCGUUGUUCGGAAUUACUGGGCGUAAAGGGCUCGUAGGCGGCCAACUAAGUCGGACGUGAAAUCCCUCGGCUUAACCGGGGAACUGCGUCCGAUACUGGAUGGCUUGAGGUUGGGAGAGGGAUGCGGAAUUCCAGGUGUAGCGGUGAAAUGCGUAGAGAUCCGGAAGAACACCGGUGGCGAAGGCGGCCUGCUGGGCAGUAGCUGACACUGAGGCGCGACAGCGUGGGGAGCAAACAGG
rnacentral:rRNA from 1 species